UGACAUAAUUUCUAUGCUCUAAUUGGCUGCUGCCUACCUCAGUCACCUUUGGCUGCCCCGCCUACAUCCCCCCCUCGGCCUCGCCCCUUUCUUGAGCAUUCCAAAGUACUCGACAGGCGUUGAUGGGGGAUGUUGUCACUCAGCGGCCUCCCUGGUUUGUUUGGUUCCUCCGCCUGUCACUCUCGAAGUUGGUGGGCGGGAGCUUCCGCGGCUGUAAGGCGCUGAGCCGGCCGCUGUGAGGUGGAGCUUUGCGGACUGAGGGAAGUUUUCGUCUCUCGGUGGCGGCGGCGGCUCCGAAGGGAAGAGGACGGCGAGCCUUCUGCAGCUGGCAUGGAGUCGUGAGCCGGUGAUUGGAACUCUUGGUAUGGAACUGAGCUGGACUGAUUUGUGGGAACUAUAAGGUUGCCAUCACGAAAGCCAAAGUGGAUUUCUCCAGUGUGUUGUGCCUGCCCCCUUCCGUCAUUGCUGGAAAUGGGCUGGACGGAGGA